rnacentral:rRNA from 1 species
AUGGAACGCUGGCGGUGCGUUUAAUACAUGCAAGUUGACUGGGCAAAAUGCCCAGAGCGCCCGGGUGAGUAGUAAACAGGAAGACUACCCAGAAGAGAGGACCAAGGGAGGUUUUCCCCCAAAUGUCCUAAGCGGGUCUCACUUGUAGAAGCAUAUGCUUCUCGAGAGUCUCAGCAAGGAAAGUUUCGCUUCUGGAGGGGCCUGUUUCGGAUUAGGUCGUAGGUGGCUUGUGCCCAUCCUAGCCGAUGAUCCGUCGCUGGUAUGAGAGUACGAUCAGCCACACUGGAACUGAAAAGGAUUCAGACCUGAGUUCAGGGCAGCAGUAGAGAAUCUUGCACACUGGGGGAAACCCUGAUGCAGCGACACCGCAUGGAGGAGGAUGACAGCGUACUGUUGUAAACUCCAAGAUUCUAUUCUAUGAUGAAGGAUAGAAGAAAAAGCCCCGGCAAACUUCGUGCCAGCCGCCGCCGUAACAC